rnacentral:rRNA from 1 species
GGGGAAUCUUCCGCAAUGGACGAAAGUCUGACGGAGCGACGCCGCGUGUACGAAGAAGGCCUUCGGGUUGUAAAGUACUGUUGUUGGGGAAGAACGGCUCAAGUGUGAAUAAUGCUUGAGAUUGACGGUACCCAACGAGGAAGCCCCGGCUAACUACGUGCCAGCAGCCGCGGUAACACGUAGGGGGCGAGCGUUGUCCGGAAUUAUUGGGCGUAAAGGGCGCGUAGGCGGCCGUUUAAGGCUGAUGUGAAAGUGCGGGGCUUAACCCCGUAAAGCAUUGGAAACUGGAUGGCUUGAGGACAGGAGAGGAAAGUGGAACUCCUAGUGUAGCGGUGAAAUGCGUAGAUAUUAGGAGGAACACCAGUGGCGAAGGCGACUUUCUGGACUGUUUCUGACGCUGAGGCGCGAAAGCGUGGGUAGCGAAC